UACGGGGGGUGCUAGCGUUAUUCGGAAUCAUUGGGCGUAAAGGGCGCGUAGGCGGUCGCUUAAGUCAGAUGUGAAAGCCCUCGGCUUAACCGAGGAAGUGCAUUUGAUACUAAGUGACUUGAGUAUGGGAGAGGGAAGCGGAAUUCCUGGUGUAGCGGUGAAAUGCGUAGAUAUCAGGAGGAACACCGGUGGCGAAGGCGGCUUCCUGGACCAAUACUGACGCUGAGGCGCGAAGGCGUGGGGAGCAAACAGG
rnacentral:rRNA from 1 species